rnacentral:lncRNA from 1 species
CCCUGAGCCUUUGCAAUCACUGGGCCCUUUUCUGGAAUGCUCCCCCAGUGUUGUGCCUUGCUCACUUCCUUCGGGUCUCUGAUUAGAUGCCAGGUAAUCAUGAAGACUCUCCUGGACCGCUCAUCCCACACACGCCCAUAACUCCCUAUUCCCUGCUUUAUUUUUCUCCUAAACUCUUUUUACCACUGCCAUUUUAUUAGUGUUCAUUAAUUCAUAUAGUAUCUGUCUCCCCCAGAAUAAAACGCUAUUAGAAUAUAAUCUUUUUGUCUGCUUUCUAUUUCUUUGAUAUAGAAAUUCUGCAAUCAGCACCUGGAUUAUAGAUACCCAGUAAAUAUUGUUGAGUACAUAAAUAUGCACAAGUCUAAGUUUAACCCAAAAUGUAAAGAAUUUGCUUUGAUACCCAUACCCAAUCAAUGCAACUUC